ACGCCUUCCUAAGCAAUAAGGAUUAUGCAGGGGGAAGAGGGGUUGUGACAAGUAGUGUGCUACUUAUUGUACAGCUAAAUAUAUAAAUUCAGCUUUAAAAAAAUUCACCUGGCUUGAUACAAGACAAGGAUUUAAGGUUACAAAAACAAAAACAAACAAGCGAGCAAAGCAACACCACCACCGCCCUGGGUUCUCAUUAAUGAUAAAUGCCUUAUAUUAUCCAAAUUGUAAAAAAAAACAAAAAACAAACAACAACAACAACAAAACCCAGGCGCUCCCAACCAGACUGCAAACUGUGGCCUGGCACACCUUGGGAUUACGUCUCUCAUUUGUGUGGUUGCAUAGCAGGCACAUCUUACGUGAAUCCAAGUCUUAAUGCUUGAAGGGGAAACAGACUUAUAAAGUUAUCUACAUAGCGGCAGCCAUUUCUUCCAGCAUUCUGCACCAGUGCGCCCCCAGAGUAUCCUCAGAUGAGAGGCAUGGAUCUGUGGCUGUCACCAGCAUGUCACAGUGGGUGUGAUUCCAGUCUUUAAAAACACGUAUUUUUCAUUCGCCAGGGCCCAUAAAUGGCAGCCAGCCACUUCAUCUGGACGUCAGGCAAGGAAACAGCGAUCAGGAGUAAUUCUGAACAGCUGCAAUUUCUACCUUAGUCACAACUGUAAAUCCUAACCUUACUCAACCGCACUGUACCAGAGACAGAGCAUGAGCAGGGGAGGGGCGGAGAGAGAAGGAGAUACAGAGUCUGAAGCGGGCUCCAGGCUCCGAGCUGUCAGCACAGAGCCCAACGCGGGCCCGAACCCACGGACUGUGAGAUCAUGACCUGAGCCGAAGUCGGACGCUGAACUGACUGAGCCACCCAGGCGCCCCGUGCUUUGCAAAUAUUCUUAAUAGCAGAAACUAUUAGUGUUACCCAUUAACCUAAAAUAAUUACUACAUUAAACGCUUGCAUGUA